rnacentral:tRNA from 1 species
GCAGCGGUGGCUCAAUGGAUAGAGCAUCGCACUUCGGAUGCGAGGGUUGAGGGUUCGAGUCCUUCCCGCUGCGCCA